rnacentral:rRNA from 1 species
GAUGAACGCUGGCGGCGGGCCUAACACAUGCAAGUCGAACGCUGGAAAUCUAGCUGGCUAGAUUGAAGGAGUGGCGAGCGGGUGAGUAAUACAUAAGCAUCCUAGGCACUAAGAGUGGGAGAAUCUCUGCAGACGGUGACAAAUACCGGGUAGGGAAGCGGAAGGCGUCUUCUGAUUAUUAAAGGUUAAAAACACUGAUGGUUGGUCUGAUUGCGGAUUAGUUAGUUGGUGAGGUAACGGCACACCAAGACGAUGAUUCGUAGCCGGCCUGAGAGGGUGAACGGCCAGAAUGGGAAUGAGGCACAGCCUAGUACGGUACGGAGGGCAGCAGUAGGGAAGUUUAGGGGAUGGGGGAAACCCUAACCGAGCCACGCGGCGUGAGUGAUGCCGGCGUUCGGGUUGUAAAGCUCUGUUGUAAGGGAAGAACGGUGGAUAGAGAAUAUCUAAUUGACGGUACCUUCACAGAAAGCAACGGCUAACUACGUG